UGUCCAUGUAAGCCACUGUAUUUGCCAUUGAAUGGUGUAGGGUUGGAAACCUCGCAUCUGAGUCUUUCUUGCACCGCUUCAGACCAGUAUUUGUCGAGGAGAGCUCGAUCAAGUUGGAUAAAGUGGUUCAACGUUCGGCCACUUCAGUUGCCCAUAAAAGAACGUCACCUUGCGUAUAUCCCUCGAUAAAUCUGAUUUUCUGUGCUUCUGUCCAGCUGCGUGGAAAUACAUGACGACAAGCACUGAUAAAUACUACGGGAUUCAUUGCUUUAUCUUUGGUAAUGAAUGUAGGAAACUGUUGAUGUCUCAGCAAACCUUCGUCUACAAAAAUAGUUGAUAGACAUGUGGCAUUUUCGAUCGCAUUUUUUUUUUAAAUUCCAGCUGGUAUUGGAGUUGUGGGUAUGUUUACAUUUUGCACGCUACAACUGUGACUGGUACCUGCUGUGAGACUUGUGGCAAUUUGUGAAUAAAUGCCAACAGGUUGUGGUUUGUUCACUGCAGCCUGUGUAUAUUUACAUGCAUAUUUCGAGAUACGGUGAAGCAGCCACCUAGAAUGAAGUAAAAUCUGAAAAUAAGUUGCAUAAAUAUCUAGUCAGACCUUGACAAGAUUUCCAAGUGGUGCCAAGAUUGACAGUUUGUCUUAAACUUAAAACUGUCACAAAACAAUUUAUGGGGAUAAUAGACUGCUGUAGGAAAAGCAGGUGGCAAGCAUCAUUUCAUUGCUGGGGUAUACAAAGAGAACCACAGGCUUUUCUGACUGAAGGAAGAGUUUCAUGGAAAUUGUGAAAAACUUGCAGUACAAAAACCUGAAUAUGAACAUAAACUAUUCUGUGAAAACAGGAAUUAUCCUCUGGCACACACUUCACAGUAGUUACCACAGUAUGGCUGCAGAUGUAGCUAUUAGCUGUAGAUAGGCAGUCAUAAUAUCCACUGCAUCUGUGACUUCUUUAGUUAGUGAUUAAGGUGCAGGUGCUACACUAGUGUGAGAAAGAUACUUCUGGAUCCACUUCUAAGAAAGGAGAACCCUACAUAUGUGUACAAGAAAUGUAUUUACUGGACACAAAUAUAUCGAGCGAAGCAGUGGACACUAGAAAAUGGAGUGUCAAGUAGAGGGUUCAGAACAUUUCUCAUAUUCUGCUAUUUGAUACAACAGAUGGAUUACAGCAGCAAAGCCAGAAACAUUUGCACCAUGUAUAGGGAUAAUGCCACUGGACAGAAUACUGCAAGAAAAUGGUUUUCUACUUUUAAGGAGGAUCAUUUUGACAUUAUUGGCUCUCCACAUGCAAGGAGAUCUUUGGGGUUUGAUGAUGAUCAUGUAAACACAUUAAUCCACAACGAUCCAUAUCAGUGUACACCAGAACUGGCAAAUGUGUUAAACUGUGAUCAUUCCACCGUUGUGCUACGUUGCAUGCAAUGGGGAAGGUUCAAAACUUGUGUGUAUGGAUGCAGCAUGCUCUAAGCCAAAACCACAAAAAUCAGCAGGUGGCAAUGUGUGGAUAUCUGCUUGCCUGUCAUCAACUGGCUCGUGAACAACACCAACUAGUUCUAUCUUGUAUCAUUACUCGUGACAAGAAAUGGUGCAUUUAUGUUAACAUACGGAAAAGAAAGGAAUGGUUGACCCUAAACAAAGCAGCAACUCCCCAUACAAAGCCCUCCGCACAUCCACAACAGAUAAUGUUAUGCGCAUCUGGUGGAAGAAUGACGGUGUGAUGUACCAUGAAUUGUUUUCCCAAGAUGUAACCAACAACAUCUAUGCCAACAACUGAGACAUCUUGUAGAUGCAAUCCAGGAACAACCAGGAAGACUACAUGAAGUGAUGCUACUUCCCAAUAAUACCCAGCAGCAUUUUGAUAGACUGGCAAAAAAACACAAUACAGGAGUUGAUCUUGCAUCCUCGGAUUUUUACUUUUCCCAUUCUCUAUCGAACAGCCUUCACGGAACUUCCUUUCCUGAUGAAAAUUCACUCUCAAAAUGUCUCUCUGAAUUCUUUGCCUCAAAACUACGUGAGUUCUAGUGUCACAGAACUGGAAAGUUAUCCCAGCAUUGGUAGACUGCCGUAAAUAGUGAAGAAUAUAUUAUUCAUGACUGAAGUCUCUGUUACGUGUAUAUAUUGCAUUUCUUAAAAAGAUGGAAAACACUACAACUUAUCCUCCAAUCCAAAAUAUUUUUUGAAACAGAAGAAAGUGAUUCAUAUGUGAAUACCACUGGCUUUUGUCAAACGUGUGUGAGUGGUUGGACAUUAAUGUGCUUAUACUUGAAGCAGGAAGGCAAUCUGCGAUCGGUAUUUAAUGAGAUGGGCUGUGGCACUUUGUACAGCAGUACAAUGUUUGAAUUCCAUUACAAAAGUGUUACCAUGAAACAACAGAAAUAGUACUAGUAAUCCUUUUUUGGUGGCAGAUUAUGACUUUAUCAUUGACUGAGUGGAUUGGAAGGUUUGAUGGAAUGCCAUGUAUAUAUCAGCGACUGUAUUGUGUGAUGUGUUAUUUUUAUAGAGGCAAUAAAGAGCUUGCAAUUCGCAUUCAUUUUUUGUGCUUUUUUUCUGAAUGUGGUUUACAAAAAUAUGUGGUUUACCAGUUAUGUUACCAUUAUUAAUUGAACAUCAUCAUGCCACUGUCUUGCAUUUCAGGCAGUUUGAGGACUUAUACAUAGCCUUUGAAUUAGAAGAAGAGAGAACAGCUGUAGAUGAUGCCAGGGUAAGUGGGCCCUCACUGACACAG